AGAAAGAGCCUGAGUUUGUCUGAAUGACCUCAGUCCUGGCUCAGCAGCCAUUAAAAAACCCAGCCCUCAGCUCCAAGCAAGCAGAAUGACAAGUGUGGAGCUUCCCAGUAAUCAGAAACAAUCCCAAGAUAAAAUGGACAAUUUUGGUCAAAAGUGAGCUCCCCGUCACUUGAGGCUAUUGAAUGAAGGAGAAUGUGUCUUGGCGAUAUGGAACAACCUUCUCACGAGACUUGGUUCUGCUUGUUGCAGAAAGAUGCAGGAAGAAGGGGAGCUGUAUCCAUAGGGAUCCCCGGGAAUCCCGGAUUUCUCCUGAGACAGCCUAGAAACACCCCAUCUGUAUGGUCCAGGCAAGCGGAGCGGAAACAGACAAAAGCAGCUCAAAGAAGGAUGUGAUAGAAAAGAUGGAACAAGGGCCUCCGACAUGGAUUUGCAGCCAUCUCUGGUUCUCGAAGACUGCAGGUGCCAAGGAGGCUUGGGACCCCAGAGCUGGGGAUGCUCGGAUACAGAAUAAGUGCCUGCCUCGAUAAUUGUACAGAUUGAGUGUGCCUAGUCCUGUAAUCUCCUAUCUGGACAUCAUGUUUAAGAGAUCCUGGCCCCAGAGAUUUGAAGUGCAGCAGGCUCAACAACAAGAGACAAGAGAGAAGUUAAAUCAAUUAAACAGAUGGUUCAGUGGAUAGAACCCUGGGGAGAUCUUGUUCAAAUCUGGUCUCAGGCACUUUUUGUGUGAUCUUGGAGAGUCACCUUCAUCUCUGCCUCAGUUUCCCUAUUUGCAAGAUAAAGAUGAUAUAAUGCCAUCCACAUCCCAGGGCGUUUUUAAGGAUCAAAUGAGGAAGCGAGCCCCGGAUUCUAGCUUCUCUCCUCUGUCUGUAACCUUGUGUGCUGUGAGGAACUGCACAAUUCCAAGCCAAGUCCGUGGGCACGAGACCCCGCUAGAUCUCUUUUAGAAGAUGCUGCCUGAGCUGUCCUGGCUGGCAGCACCCCUGGGGAGCAAUGGGGAAGCUGGGUGAUCAAUAAACCCAACCAGUCUAUCUGUAACCUGGGCUGUCUCAAGAAAAUCAUUAGCCAGAUCCUCAAGCAAGCCCCACACAGAGAUAAAUUGAGGUUUCACUAAUUGUCUCCCCAGAGAGGUGGAAAGAGAAACACAAGUUAAAAAAGAUUUGAAAGUUCCCAUUUCAGUUCCCCAGCCCCAUGUCUGGAGAAGACAAGAAGGGGAAGGUAGAAAGAUCAGCCUCAUAAAGUCAUGAAGUCAGAGACCAUCAGAACUCCAGAUGGGCUCCAGAGACAUCCGGCCCACUCUCUACUAGAACGAGACAUUCCUGAUCAGUGGACAUUUGGCUUUUGUGCCAAGACUUCCAGUGGAGGGACGCUCGUCCUCUUUCCUACCUGCUGCCACUUUUGGCCCGGCUCCCAUGGUCAGGGAGGUUUUCCUCUCAGAGAUCCACAACUUGCCUGGAACCCAGUGUGCUUUGUCCAGUGUCUCAUGCCAUUACUCAGAGAAAAGAUACAAAAAUAUGGGCUCAACAAUCGUAAGGUCAAAAAUUUGAAGCCGGAAAGUGACUUGUUUACAUGUAUAGAAAAAUGGAGGCUGGAGAGUGUCUAGAAGAGACAAUCAUGACGGGGAAGGGCUUGGAGUCCUGGGAAGACCUGUUGAAGGAAAGGAGCCCUGUUUGUUUAUCUCGGAGAAGACUUCCCACCAGUUGGAGUUGUCUUGGGCUAGACGUUACGGGCUCCCUUUCAAUGGAGCCAAACUGUAGCGAGAUGAAAGGCUCCGUGCUGGUGAUUAGAGGGAAAAUAGACAUCCUUUGGUGAUGGAAGAUGGAUCAGGUGGCAAUUAGUGUCCUCUAGGAAGAGCAACUUUAAUAUCGGGGAGUAUUUGUGAGUCUGGAGCGCUGGAGCUCCUACCCCGCAGAUACAAAGGGGGUUGGCUGCCUGGGCUCAGCUCGCCGCUUUCUGGUCUUCCGAUUUAUUGUUGGCCAUUAACUGUGGAGCUGUGACACCGGGGAGAAAAGAUGAGAUGAAAGUGGCAGCCGGGGCUGGGGAGAGA